GCAUCUAUGGCCGAGGGGUCGAAGGCAGAGGACUCAUAAUCCUCCUCCCAUUUAGGGCGUCGCUGGUUCAAAUCCAGCUAGAUGCA
rnacentral:tRNA from 1 species